UAGUAACGGCGAGUGAAGCGGGAAGAGCUCAAGCUUAAAAUCUCUGCGCAAGUUUUGCGCGGCGAAUUGUAGUCUAUAGACGCUAAAUCAGUGCGGCUAUUCGGGUUAAGUUCCUUGGAAGAGGACAGCAAUGAGGGUGAUACUCCCGUUUGUACCUGAGUAUGUUGCACGUACGAUUUGUGUUCUUUGAGUCGCGUUGUUUGGGAAUGCAGCGCAAAGUAGGUGGUAAAUUCCAUCUAAAGCUAAAUAUUGGUGCGAGACCGAUAGCGAACAAGUACCGUGAGGGAAAGAUGAAAAGAACUUUGAAAAGAGAGUUAAAGAGUACCUGAAACUGCUGAAAGGGAACCGGGUCGUUGCCAGUGUCUAUAAUCCUCGGCAUAUUUCAUUGCUGUGCGGGGCUGUGUCGCGCGUUGGUAGUAGUUUGUUCUGCGCUGCGUGUGUCGUUCGGCUUUGCUCGGCGGUGCCCUGUGUCGUGGUGGGACGUCAGAGUCAGUUCGUGUGCUGCGGGAAAUGGCUGUCGAGGAGGUAGGUCAGGAGCUUGCUUCUGGCUGUUAUAUCUUGGCGUGCUAGUUGUCGUGGUUGGGACUGAGGUGCCUACAACGUGCUUUUUGAGUGUUUGUGCGUCUCUGUGUGCGUCCGGAUUGGAUAGCUUGCUAUGCAGUUUGUCACGUGUGCGGAUGGAUGUGUAUUCUUACUUGUUGCCGUUC
rnacentral:rRNA from 2 species